rnacentral:rRNA from 1 species
GACGAACGCUGGCGGCGUGCCUAACGCAUGCAAGUCGAACGGGGUCUUAAGGAGGAAAGCUUCGGCAGGAAUCCUUAAGAUCUAGUGGCGGACGGGUGAGUAACGCGUGAGUAACCUGCCUCAAAGAGGGGGAUAACAACGAGAAAUCGUUGCUAAUACCGCAUAAGACCACGCUCCCGCAUGGGAGAGAGGUCAAAGCUCCGGCGCUUUGAGAUGGACUCGCGUCCCAUUAGGUAGUUGGUGAGGUAACGGCCCACCAAGCCGACGAUGGGUAGCCGAGCUGAGAGGCUGAUCGG